UGGGGAAUUUUGGACAAUGGGCGCAAGCCUGAUCCAGCCAUUCCGCGUGCAGGACGAAGGCCUUCGGGUUGUAAACUGCUUUUGUACGGAACGAAAAGGCUCUGGCUAAUACCUGGGGCUCAUGACGGUACCGUAAGAAUAAGCACCGGCUAACUACGUGCCAGCAGCCGCGGUAAUACGUAGGGUGCAAGCGUUAAUCGGAAUUACUGGGCGUAAAGCGUGCGCAGGCGGUUAUGUAAGACAGAGGUGAAAUCCCCGGGCUCAACCUGGGAACUGCCGUAGUGACUGCAUGGCUGGAGUACGGCAGAGGGGGAUGGAAUUCCGCGUGUAGCAGUGAAAUGCGUAGAUAUGCGGAGGAACACCGAUGGCGAAGGCAAUCCCCUGGGCCUGUACUGACGCUCAUGCACGAAAGCGUGGGGAGCAAACA
rnacentral:rRNA from 1 species